rnacentral:rRNA from 1 species
GUUAGGAAUAUUGGACAAUGGGCGAAAGCCUGAUCCAGCCAUGCCGCGUGAACGAUGAAGGCCUUCGGGUUGUAAAGUUCUUUAGCCGAUGAUUAUAAUGACUGUAGUCGGAAAAUAAGCCCCGGCUAACUUCGUGCCAGCAGCCGCGGUAAUACGAAGGGGGCGAGCGUUAUUCGGAAUCACUGGGCGUAAAGCGUUCGUAGGCGGUUUUGUAAGUUAGGAGUGAAAGCCCAGGGCUCAACCUUGGAAUUGCUCUUAAAACUGCAAGGCUCGAAUCUCGGAGAGGAUAGCGGAAUUUCCAGUGUAGCAGUGAAAUGCGUAGAUAUUGGAAGGAACACCAGUGGCGUAAGCGGCUAUCUGGACGAGUAUUGACGCUGAGGCACGAAAGCGUGGGGAUCAAACAGGAUUAGAUACCCGAGUAGUCC